AACAGUGGGUGCUUUCGGGAGCCGUGAGACAGGUGCUGCAUGGCUGUCGUCAGCUCGUGUCGUGAGAUGUUGGGUUAAGUCCCGCAACGAGCGCAACCCUUAUCGUUAGUUGCCAUCUGGUAAUGCAGGGGACUCUAGCGAAACUGCCACCGUAAGGUGAGAGGAAGUGGGGAUGACGUCAAAUCAGCACGGCCCUUAUGUCCAGGGCUACACACGUGUUACAAUGGUCGGUACAGAGGGCAGCUACCUGGUGACAGGAUGCUAAUCUCGAAAACCGGUCUCAGUUCGGAUCGAAGUCUGCAACUCGACUUCGUGAAGCUGGAUUCGCUAGUAAUCGCGCAUCAGCUAUGGCGCGGUGAAUACGUUCCCGGGCCUU
rnacentral:rRNA from 1 species